rnacentral:lncRNA from 1 species
GAGUGUGAAUGUAGUUUACAGCUGACCAUUAGGCUGAGAGCUGGUGUAUCUCAGACAUACUUAGUAAGCCUAGGGAAAUCUGAAAGUGAUUGCCAUGGGACUCAAUUUACACAUUUGCAAAUGAUUAGACUUGGCAUUGUCCCAGUAGUAUUCCGUGGCACCUCACGCCAUGCCAUUGCCCCUAUUCGUGCCGCAAUCACUUCAGAGCAAAAGCAGGACCAGUCUCACCCAGUACAGAGCUGGGGUAUGCAUUGGGCAGAAUUACCAAAAUUGCGGAGGCCUCAGGGAGUCAGCUGCACCUGGCCAGCUUGGCUGGUGAUCUGAGGCCUUGCGUUUCAGGAGCAACUCCUUUUGUACAGCAGAUCACGUGAUCUGCACACAAGGUCUCACAAAGAAAGAUGCCGCUCCUUCUUGCCAGUGGUCCCCUUAGUCAUCCUUGAUGGGCAAUGGCCGGCUUGCCCAGUACCAGACAAGCGCUACCAACAGGAGAAAUAGGACGCUCACAACUGUGAUCACCUGGAAUUCAAGCUGUAUCACAUCAUGACCUGAAAAUUGGUCCACUUGACAUACGCUGCUGCAAGACAUAUGGCGCCUCAUCACACAAGCUGUCAACAAGCACGAGGAUAGAACGCACGUAUUUGGCAUGUUCGUGAAUGUUUUUGUUUGAAGCUUUCCUCUUCCUCUUCUCGACACGCUUCUCAUCCUUAGGCUUCCCUGGACGUUGCCACAAAGAUGUGAGGGAAACCAGUUAAGCAUACGCAAUGCGUUCAAACAACGGUCCUCGGUUUCGAUACAUAUAUGUUGUAAGGAAACGCAUCGCCACAGGACGCUGACGUGCCUUUACCAACCGCCAUGUGGGCCUCUGAUUUAGGUGAUGAACUCCAGAGGUCCUUAGAUACAGCAAGAACCAUGUCAGUAUAAAAAAUAAAGAUCAUUCAUCUUACCAAAAGAUAUGAUCAACACACAGGAAUGUAGCAGAAAUUCGGCAAAGCCUGAUAUUCACAGCACAUCUGACUGCAGAAUCAAAACCAUAAGAAGCCUGCAUAAUCGGGUAGAGUGCAGUCUUUGAUGGAAACAUGCUGAUAUGUUUGGUUACUAUCAACCAAUAAUUUUCGCUAUAUUACCAAAGCCAGCGACUUUCCUGUGCACCAAAUGUGUGACCCAUGGAGAUCUGACAAGGACUGCAGAAAUAUGGGUACGCACCUCAAAUACUGCAGCUGAAGCCUGCUCCAACAACAGAUAUUAUUCAAUGUGCAACUUUGACCUU